rnacentral:lncRNA from 1 species
AUGAGAGGUUUAUAGAAGCUUCUGGAUGGAAGAGAAUGACUGACAGGGAAACUGGGUCAACUAGGUCUUGUUCUGAUGGGUGGGGCCAUGCUCAGUAAAACUUUAAUCCAAUUUUCUGUUGAUGGGUGGGGCUGUGUUUCCUCCCUGUUAUUUACCUGGGGCCAAACUACGGUGAGGCAACAAAGAUAAUGGUGACCUCCUUCAAAAUGUCCCAUGCACACACUGCUACAGUCAGUGCUCCCAACCCUGAAGCAGGCUGCCGCCAACCAACGACUCUGCCAGACAGUCCUGGACACUCACAGGCAAGUCAAGGAAGUAUCAGCAAUCUAGUUGAGAGAAUGUGUAAAGGAAGAGAUCUACGAGGAGUUAUAUCAAGAACUGCCAUCCAGGGAGCUGAGACUCUCAUGUCAACCUGUCUGCUUUGGCUUCUGCCUCCCAUCUCCCUUCUCGCUUCCCUCCCUUCACAUGGUUCCCAUCACGUGCCAAGCACAAUGCUUGGAAGUGAGAGAGAAUGUUGUAUGAUACAAACACAUUCCUGCUCUCAGUGAAGC